ACGCUGGCGGCGUGCUUAACACAUGCAAGUCGAACGAACCUUCGGGUUAGUGGCGGACGGGUGAGUAACGCGUGAGAAUCUGCCCUCAGGAGGGGGAUAACGGUUGGAAACGACCGCUAAUACCCCAUAUGCCUACUGGUGAAAUGAAUUUCGCCUGAGGAUGAGCUCGCGUCUGAUUAGCUAGUUGGUGAGGUAAUGGCUCACCAAGGCUUCGAUCAGUAGCUGGUCUGAGAGGAUGAUCAGCCACACUGGGACUGAGACACGGCCCAGACUCCUACGGGAGGCAGCAGUGGGGAAUUUUCCGCAAUGGGCGAAAGCCUGACGGAGCAACGCCGCGUGAGGGACGAAGGCCUCUGGGCUGUAAACCUCUUUUCUCAAGGAAGAAGAUAUGACGGUACUUGAGGAAUAAGCCACGGCUAAUUCCGUGCCAGCAGCCGCGGUAAUACGGGAGUGGCAAGCGUUAUCCGGAAUUAUUGGGCGUAAAGCGUCCGCAGGCGGCUUUUCAAGUCUGCUGUUAAAGCGUGGAGCUUAACUCCAUCAUGGCAGUGGAAACUGAAAGGCUUGAGUAUGGUAGGGGCAGAGGGAAUUCCCGGUGUAGCGGUGAAAUGCGUAGAUAUCGGGAAGAACACCAGUGGCGAAGGCGCUCUGCUGGGCCAUUACUGACGCUCAUGGACGAAAGCCAGGGGAGCGAAAGGGAUUAGAUACCCCUGUAGUCCUGGCCGUAAACGAUGAACACUAGGUGUCGGGGGAAUCGACCCCUUCGGUGUCGUAGCUAACGCGUUAAGUGUUCCGCCUGGGGAGUACGCACGCAAGUGUGAACUCAAUGAUGACGGU
rnacentral:rRNA from 1 species